rnacentral:tRNA from 1 species
UGGGGUGUGGCGCAGUGGUAGCGCAGCGGACUGUUAAUCCGUUGGUCGUGGGUUCAAAUCCCUCCACCCCAGCCA